AUUGAACGCUGGCGGCAGGCUUAACACAUGCAAGUCGAGCGAGCGGCGGACGGGUGAGUAAUGUCUGGGAAACUGCCUGAUGGAGGGGGAUAACUACUGGAAACGGUAGCUAAUACCGCAUACCAUCAGAUGUGCCCAGAUGGGAUUAGCUAGUAGGUGGGGUAAUGGCUCACCUAGGCGACGAUCCCUAGCUGGUCUGAGAGGAUGACCAGCCACACUGGAACUGAGACACGGUCCAGACUCCUACGGGAGGCAGCAGUGGGGAAUAUUGCACAAUGGGGGAAACCCUGAUGCAGCCAUGCCGCGUGUGUGAAGAAGGCCUUCGGGUUGUAAAGCACUUUCAGCGAGGAGGCGUUACUCGCAGAAGAAGCACCGGCUAACUCCGUGCCAGCAGCCGCGGUAAUAC
rnacentral:rRNA from 1 species